rnacentral:lncRNA from 1 species
CUCAGUAUUCUUUGGCUCCUGAGGCCACAAUCCACCCCUGUCCAUCCCAUCCGAUCCGUGUCUCGGACAGGCUCUCCUGGUGUCUGUGCUCCCCACGGUGCACUGGGGCCCUAUCCCUCAUCUCCAGUCGGCCUGCAGCAGACUCGCCUUCUGGCUCGGCUCGCCCGGAUGGCUCAGUGCUCCAUCCACCAUCAACAACUGUGCCCCUCGCCCAAUCCGUGAGAAGUGUUGUAGUGCUGGAGCUACAAGUGGAGGUCCCACUGAGAUCAGGAAAGAAGGGAAGAGGCUGAAGGAUCACCCCGGAAGGCUGGUCGGCAUUCUCAUUAAGAAACACAGGCAGACAAUGACACUCUGUGCUCUCCAGCACCUCUCUUCUUCCCUGCCUUCCUAAUUAUGCCAGUCUAUAUACUUUGGGAAGCUUUAAAAGCCAAAGAUUCAUUAUGUUUUUUUAAAAAAUUAUGCUUUUACUUCCACUGGAAAAAAAUUAUAUGGGUUAAUAGUCAUGGUGGCUGCACACAGCGGCUUCCAUGAGAGAUGGAUCACCCCAGCUGCUGGCUGAGGCCAGUACUCCUCUGCUGGAUCCUGGUGCCUGGACACAGUCUUUUUGCACUGCACCUUGUCUUGGGCAGCUAAGAGCCAACUCAAGUAGAAUGGCCAAGGUACAGGUUUUAAUGGAUUAAUAUAUCAACCAUCCUUUAG